rnacentral:rRNA from 1 species
AUUACCGAGUGAGGGCCCUCUGGGUCCAACCUCCCACCCGUGUUUAUCGUACCUUGUUGCUUCGGCGGGCCCGCCUCACGGCCGCCGGGGGGCAUCUGCCCCCGGGCCCGCGCCCGCCGAAGACACACAAACGAACUCUUGUCUGAAGAUUGCAGUCUGAGUACUUGACUAAAUCAGUUAAAACUUUCAACAACGGAUCUCUUGGUUCCGGCAUCGAUGAAGAACGCAGCGAAAUGCGAUAAGUAAUGUGAAUUGCAGAAUUCAGUGAAUCAUCGAGUCUUUGAACGCACAUUGCGCCCCCUGGUAUUCCGGGGGGCAUGCCUGUCCGAGCGUCAUUGCUGCCCUCAAGCACGGCUUGUGUGUUGGGCUCUCGCCCCCCGCUUCCGGGGGGCGGGCCCGAAAGGCAGCGGCGGCACCGCGUCCGGUCCUCGAGCGUAUGGGGCUUCGUCACCCGCUCUGUAGGCCCGGCCGGCGCCCGCCGGCGAACACCAUCAAUCUUAACCAGGUUGACCUCGGAUCAGGUAGGGAUACCCGCUGAACUUAAGCAUAUCAAUAAGCCGGAGGAA